GGAUUGUGGCGGCAGCGGGAUCAGGACGUGUUGGGAAGGCGGAAAAAGAGCCGUUAAAGGACUCUCGCGGGAACGAGUACCAAGCCUCGGAGCGUUCACAGGACACACCCCUUUUUGUUGGAACUGCAUGUAAAAAACACAACAGGAGAGGUCACCAGAAGUUCUGAGAGGAAAUCGUGAAGGGAUAUCUGAGUGAGGUAAUGAAGUUAAGAUGACUGGUCUAUAAUUCUCUGAGUUGUCCUUAUUCCCUUUUUUGAAAGAUUGGCAAAUAUAGUACCUUUUUCGAGUCCUCUGAGAUCUCUCCCAUUUCCCACAAGUUCUCAAAGCUAAUUGCUAAUGGCUCAAAGAUCUUUUCAGACAGUUUAAGUAUUUUAGGCUGUAUUUUGCUAGGCCCUGCCAACUUUAAGACAUUUACCUUGCUUAAUUCUUGACUUGUACUUUCCCUGUUUUAGCCUCAAAUGAUAGCUAUUUACACUUAUGUUCACUAUGUUAGCU